rnacentral:tRNA from 1 species
GGCCCUGUAGUGAAGUUCAUAGUGGGUUGCAAGCCCAUUGAUGCGCAUUAAUUGUGUGCCGGGGUCU